rnacentral:lncRNA from 1 species
CCUCAGUGGGUGCAGAAGACUGGGACCUACUUAGGGCAUGAGCUAUCUCAAGGCGUUCCAAAGCUCACCCCCAAACGCUGUGCAUCCAUUUUGUCCAUCCUUCUCCCCAAAACAAAAAAACAGGUCUCUUACCGCUCAUCCUCUAACCUGCUCUCUCUCUACAGCCACCAGCUCAGCUUUCACGUGAGACUUCCAGGGAAGUUUCAGAGGAGGGAACUGUGGGGGCCCAGGACAGUCUGCCUCAAGAUAUUCCACAAUGGCAUGUUGACUAUUUGAGUUAAAGUUACUUAAAAAGCCAAAAGGGGCUUUCUGAGCCUCCUGUCUCUGUUCCUCUGAAAGCAGGAAUGAAUCUCCCAUAUGAGAGGUGCC